AGCAUAAAUAAUAGAACGAACGUAAAAUAUACAAAAAUAUAAUAAUAUAUAAUUAAAUAUACAUAAGAAAUAUUUGAAAUAAAAUAUAUUAUCAAAUAAUACGCAUUAUAAAUCUAAAAUAAAUAUUAUAUUGAGUGUACAGACCCAAUUUCUGCCCGGCCCACUAACAAUUAACCCAGUCUAUUACAGCAUUAAACCCAAUUACAAAACCAAACUAACCCAAGCCCAGACACCUAAAAUAUUUUCAGAAAAAAACCCUAGCCUUUGACCUAGGCGCCGCAUGUCCCUUCAACCACCUACUCAUCUGCCGACGCCAUUUGCAGGCUACCCUGUCUGCAUCACGUCUCCUCCACCGCCCUAUACCUGCAAACAAUAAAGAGAGACAACAGCAACAAGCAACAGGAGGAGGCUUUUGUUUUGUUUUUGUUCUCGGUAUAAAAAUCGAUUAUUAACAGAUUGUAAAAGGGGGGCUUCCGAUUUUUGUAAAAAAAAACACAUUAGCAUAAAGAAAUAAAAGAAAAAAUAGAUUCAAGGUUAUUUUUUUCUAUCAGAUUUGCAUUUCCCUUUUAUUUUUUUUAUUUUCUUUAUUUUGCAUAUUAAAUAAAAACAAAAAGAAAAAGGUACCUGUUCGUUUCGAAGGCCGGCGUCAGUGCCCUUCUUCGCCGUCAUCGGAGUCGAACAUGGGGAGCGACCUCUUCUUUUUUUCUCUCGAUCUCGUGGUUGAGAAGGCCAAGCCUUCAAGGAAGCCGAAAGGGGAGGACUGAAAAGCCCAUUUCGCGCAACUCCGGCCAUUGGCCGUGGAGGUGGCGCGGCGGAGGCCUGAACCCUAGGUCGGAUUUUGGAGGAGAGGCCGAGAGAAAGAGAGAACUCUCUCUGUUUUCUGAAAAAAUAAGGGCUGAAA
rnacentral:lncRNA from 1 species